rnacentral:rRNA from 1 species
AUUGAACGCUGGCGGCAGGCCUAACACAUGCAAGUCGAACGAGUGGCGGACGGGUGAGUAAUGUCUGGGAAACUGCCUGAUGGAGGGGGAUAACUACUGGAAACGGUAGCUAAUACCGCAUACCAUCGGAUGUGCACAGAUGGGAUUAGAUAGUAGGUGGGGUAAAGGCUCACCUAGGCGACGAUCCCUAGCUGGUCUGAGAGGAUGACCAGCCACACUGUAACUGAGACACGGUCCAGACUCCUACGGGAGGCAGCAUUGGGGAAGAUUGCACAAUGGGCGCAAGCCUGAUGCAGCCAUGCCGCGUGUAUGAAGAAGGCCUUCGGGUUGUAAAGUACUUUCAGCGAGGAGGCGUUACCCGCAGAAGAAGCACCGGCUAACUCCGUGCCAGCAGCCGCGGUAAUAC